GGAGAGCUGACUUUAACACAGAGGAACAUAAGCUACUGCUAUACAGAUGAAAGCAAAGAGUGAAACUUGUGAUACAGACAAAUUCUUGAAACAGUUGAAAUCCAGACUGUUCUUUAAUUGAUAGCAGAUGGGAGACAGGGUCAGUUCUCUUUAAGGGUGUGUCCUCUUGUAGGUUAGCCAAGCUCCAACUGAGUAUAUGGGCAGCACAGACUAUAUUGAUGGGCUUAAAGGGGAAGAAACAAAGUUGGGUGGAUAGGAUAGGAUAGAAUAUGGAUAUGGCAAGAGUAGGGGGAAAUAUGUUCACAAUAUAUUAUAUAAAUUAUCAAUUAACUAAUGAAAAUGAGAAAGAAUAAAAAGUAAUAGUAAAAGAAAAGAAGCUGUGGAGUCAGGGGAAGUCUGAACACACUCAGACAGUAAGUGAGAUAUACACAAUUUUGAUAUACACAAAGUCUUGAUGACAGCUUAAUUGUUCAUAGCUAAGAAGACUAGUGUCCUAGUGACUGAGGGAGGGUAUCCCAGGUCUUUGAAGUGUUACCUCAGUAGCCAAGUUGGGCCUGCAAGUCUAAUAAUCAUGACAGAAAAGACUGACGAUGGCAAAACAGAUGUGAAGGAGUCUUAGAUAGACAAGUCAAAAGCUGGGGCUCACCUUCCAGUGCUACUCUCAUCAUGCUUGCCUGUUCUGCACACUAGUAGUUUAACCUGUGGACGCGAAAAUGAGAGCGCCACUUCAGUCUAUCUUCAACACUCCAUAUUACAGAACUAAAGAGCCUGAAGGGUUGAUUCUCAAGUACAUCUGGAGGAGGAAGGAGUCCAUUGAAAUGCUAAAGUUAGAAAGGGAUAGAGAAGGCUCAGAAAGAGUGGGAUGAAGGUUCAUUAAAAGUGAAGCUCGACUUUACAGUCAUGCCACUCAGUGUUGACAUCUCAAUCCUUCUUGCCUUUACAUUAAAAAGUAGAAAGCAAGAAACAAGACUAGUUUGUCAAUUUUAGCAUCAGAUAAUAUAGAGAGUCUGAAUUUAAUUGGCACCUUAGACACGUAAACAAAAGUAAUAUUAGUUUACCUUUUAUGUAUCUAAAAUCUUCAUUAACACAUCAAAAAGAAACAGUUUACUUGUAGGGUGUAAUUGUCCUGCUUUUAAGCAGAAGAUAACAAAAGAAUAUUUUAUGCUUCCCUAUGCCUAUAAUACCAUUGAGCUUCAGAGCAGCUAACUAGGUUGCUUGAAUAUGCUGUUACAGAACUGGUUAAUCCAUAAUUCAGCAGGUUCUUGGCUUCCAAGUUGCCUUAUUGACAAGCCUGAAGAAAGUAGAUGGAACUAAUUAGCACUCAGCAUUAUAAAAUAGGAAGAAUUAAAUAAAGCAGCUGCAAUAUUAAACUCAGACCCCUAUGAAGAUAUUCCUUUUAGUUAUGGGGAUUUUGAAAUGAUGGACAGGCUAAACCAAAACUCAUAAUCCUAUUACAGUCUCCUACACCCACCUAAUAAGCUUCAAGAGCUGUUUCCUGAGCAUCUGGGAUAUUGCCAUCUUCCUCUAGGCUUCUCUGUGUAUAGCUUAUGAAUUCUUUACUGUUCCUACUAAAUACUUUGUUAUUUAAAAUAGUAUGAAAGAGAGUAUAUAAAUCUAUACAUAUAUAUACAUAUUGAUGUAUUUUGACUGUAAUAAUACCCUUAGCCUGUAGGGAACUUCAUAUUAUUAAUAAUUUCAGAGGAAAGCUUUUUAAGAAAAAAGCUCCAGGCUUAGCUGUAAUGAGGCAUUUGAAAAGGAGGAGGGGGUAUAUUUGUAUGUGUAAUGAAAAUAUUGAACCCUUCGGGAUGUUCUGAACCAUGGUGUACUAAUAAACGAUCUUUCCAUUUCAAUGUUCCAGCAGACGUCUUUGUACCCCUGUUGUACCCUUGCAAAAUGCUUUUAGCUCACAUUCCCUUUUAAGUAUUCGGUCUCCUGACACUUGCUCCUAGGGUGGGGGUGCAAUAGGGUGAAUGAAAUGGCAAAAGGAGGGCAGUACUAAGAAGCAAAACCAUGUUGGUGGCUUAGAAUAAUGAGCCUAUUUUCAGCUGAGCCGUGUGGUUCGUAUGAAUUAAUUAACCCCUUCUAAGCAUUUGUCUGACAAUCCUAAUUCGCAUUCAGUUCAAUGAGUUUUGUAAUUAUCAUUUAACUAAAUAGCAGUAAAAACUGUUUAUAUCCUACCAUUAAGGAAGCUUUGUAGAACUCUUUUCCUAUAAAUCAUCCGAAGCUGUUUACAAUUUGCAGCAGACUUAUUUUUCUUCUGAUUUGUGCUCAGGUUGCUGUUUCUCUGCUUCAGAAAUAGUUUUCAAGGCAGUAAUUAUACAACGUGCUCUCAAGUUUCUUCAGCCUUGGAAGGAAAAAAGACCCCAGUAAAGAACAUUUUCACAUUUUAAUUGGAAGAAUAUAGACUUAAACUAUUAUCUACCAUGUUAAACAAAAUGAAUCCAAAGAUGCUAAAUGGAUAGAGAAUGAUUAAUUACUCAUUCCUAAGACCUAUGCCAUUUAGUUCCCAGUGAUAAGAUGGUGAUGAAGCACUUUGACCC
rnacentral:lncRNA from 1 species